CACUAAACAGCUAGCCCCAUCCGCUAAAAACAACAAAUCAUUAUUAAUAACCCCACACAUACUAGCAUUACGAACUAAACAAACCAUUUUACCCCCUAAGUAUGGGCGACAGAAAAGGACCUAUGGAGCUAUAGAGAAAGUACCGCAAGGGAACGCUGAAAGAGAAAUGAAAAAACUCAGUAAAGUUCAAAAAAGCAGAGAUACAACCUCGUACCUUUUGCAUCAUGAUUUAGCAAGAAACCUCCAAGCAAAGAGCACUUUAGUUUGCAUUCCCGAAACUAAGUGAGCUACUCCAAGACAGCCUAUUAAUAGGGCCAACCCGUCUCUGUGGCAAAAGAGUGGGAAGAACUUCGAGUAGAGGUGACAGACCUAUCGAACUUAGUUAUAGCUGGUUGUCUAGGAAUUGAAUAGAAGUUCAGCCUCUAGGCUUCUUUCCUCACCUAUACCUCAGUCCCACCUGAGCAUAAAGAAACCAAGAGAGUUAGUUAAAGGGGGUACAGCCCCUUUAAUACAAGAUACAACUUUUUCAGGAGGGUAAAGAUCACAUUCAGCCAAAGGCAAAGUGUUCUAGUGGGCCUAAAAGCAGCCACCCAACAGAAAGCGUUAAAGCUCAGACACCAUUGUUUUAGCCUCUAAUUUCGAUUACUUCUUCUUAACCCCCUAAUUUUACUAGACCUCCUCAUGCACCCAUGAGGGCGAUUAUGCUAAUAUGAGUAAUAAGAAAGUACUGACUUUCUCCUAGCACAAGUGUAAAUCGGAACGAACCCCCACCGAACAUUACCGGCCCCAACCCAAGAGGGCAGCGAAUAACAAAUAAACAACUAGAAAACCAUUCAAUCUCUUACCGUUAACCCCACGCUGGUGUGCAUUCAAGGAAAGACUAAAAGAAAAAGAAGGAACUCGGCAAACAAAAGCCUCGCCUGUUUACCAAAAACAUCGCCUCUUGCAAAAUCAAAGAAUAAGAGGUCCCGCCUGCCCUGUGACAUAAUCGUUUAACGGCCGCGGUAUUUUGACCGUGCAAAGGUAGCGCAAUCACUUGUCUUUUAAAUGAAGACCUGUAUGAAUGGCACGACGAGGGCUUAACUGUCUCCUUUUUCCAGUCAAUGAAAUUGAUCUCCCCGUGCAGAAGCGGGGAUAAAAACAUAAGACGAGAAGACCCUAUGGAGCUUUAGACACGAAAGCAGAUCUUGUUAAACCCCCUAAAACAAAAGAUUAAACCAAAAGUAAACCUGCUCUAAUGUCUUUGGUUGGGGCGACCGCGGGGAAACAAAUAACCCCCACGUGGAACGAGAGUAUUUCUCUCACAACCAAGAGCCACAGCUCUAAUUAACAGAAUUUCUGACCAUAAGAUCCGGCAACGCCGAUCAACGGACCGAGUUACCCUAGGGAUAACAGCGCAAUCCCCUUUUAGAGCCCAUAUCGACAAGGGGGUUUACGACCUCGAUGUUGGAUCAGGACAUCCUAAUGGUGCAGCCGCUAUUAAGGGUUCGUUUGUUCAACGAUUAAAGUCCU
rnacentral:rRNA from 1 species